UAGCAAACAUCCUUGUGACAGUGCUGUACGUGCGUUUUUUGCUAUCGCUACAUAGCCAACGUUUGCACUAACAGCUGUUUACUUACCAAGAGUUAGAGUCGUUGUUGAGGUUACAAGACAAAAGUUUAGAGCAGAGCUGCUACUUCAUCUCCUCAUGUUGGACUGAGGCCAGACUAGACGCUACGCAAGUUACACACUAUCGCAACGAGACGGUAGGUGGCUAGCUUAGCCGGUUAGCAUGCUAAAUUCAGUAGAAGAAAAUUAGCGACAUAAAAGCAAAACAGGUUAAUAUUGGUGUUGCUUUCCACAGCUGAAGGGCUGCUGAAGGAAUGAAGUCUGAUGCUGAACUCGCUACGUUUCCUCUAAACUGGAGACAGCUCUUGGCGAAUGGAGUUUUAUGCUGAACUUGCAACGUUUCUUCUAGACUGCUGGAGACACUGAGUAAAGGAAUGAAGAUGGAUGUUGAAUUUACAACGUUUCCCCUAGACUGGU